AGCCUGAUGCAGCCAUGCCGCGUGUAUGAAGAAGGCCUUCGGGUUGUAAAGUACUUUCAGCAGUGAGGAAGGCGGAUGCGUUAAUAGCGUAUUCGUUUGACGUUAGCUGCAGAAGAAGCACCGGCUAACUCCGUGCCAGCAGCCGCGGUAAUACGGAGGGUGCGAGCGUUAAUCGGAAUUACUGGGCGUAAAGCGCAUGCAGGUGGUGUGUUAAGUCAGAUGUGAAAGCCCGGGGCUCAACCUCGGAAUAGCAUUUGAAACUGGCACACUAGAGUACUGUAGAGGGGGGUAGAAUUUCAGGUGUAGCGGUGAAAUGCGUAGAGAUCUGAAGGAAUACCAGUGGCGAAGGCGGCCCCCUGGACAGAUACUGACACUCAGAUGCGAAAGCGUGGGGAGCAAACAGGAUUAGAUACCCUGGUAGUCCACGCCGUAAACGAUGUCUACUUGGAGGUUGUGGCCUUGAGCCGUGGCUUUCGGAGCUAACGCGUUAAGUAGACCGCCUGGGGAGUACGGUCGCAAGAUUAAAACUCAAAUGAAUUGACGGGGGCCCGCACAAGCGGGUGGAGCAUGUGGUUUAAUUCGAUGCAACGCGAAGAACCUUACCUACUCUUGACAUCCAGAGAACUUUCCAGAGAUGGAUUGG
rnacentral:rRNA from 1 species